rnacentral:rRNA from 1 species
CAGUAGCCGCGGGAAUACGUAGGUGGCAAGCGUUGUCCGGAAUUAUUGGGCGUAAAGCGCGCGCAGGUGGUUUAAUAAGUCUGAUGUGAAAGCCCCCGGCUCAACCGGGGAGGGUCAUUGGAAACUGGUUGACUUGAGUGCAGAAGAGGAGAGUGGAAUUCCAUGUGUAGCGGUGAAAUGCGUAGAUAUAUGGAGGAACACCAACGGCGAAAGCACUCUGCUAGGCCGACACUGACACUGAGAGAUGAAAGCUAGGGGAGCAAAUGGGAUUAGAGACCCGCGUAGUCCCUGUCUCUUAUAC